ACACUCCUACGGGAGGCAGCAGUGGGGAAUAUUGCACAAUGAGCGCAAGCCUGAUGCAGCCAUGCCGCGUGUAUGAAGAAGGCCUUCGGGUUGUAAAGUACUUUCAGCGGGGAGGAAGGCGAUAAGGUUAAUAACCUUGUUGAUUGACGUUACCCGCAGAAGAAGCACCGGCUAACUCCGUGCCAGCAGCCGCGGUAAUACGGAGGGUGCAAGCGUUAAUCGGAAUUACUGGGCGUAAAGCGCACGCAGGCGGUCUGUCAAGUCGGAUGUGAAAUCCCCGGGCUCAACCUGGGAACUGCAUUCGAAACUGGCAGGCUAGAGUCUUGUAGAGGGGGGUAGAAUUCCAGGUGUAGCGGUGAAAUGCGUAGAGAUCUGGAGGAAUACCGGUGGCGAAGGCGGCCCCCUGGACAAAGACUGACGCUCAGGUGCGAAAGCGUGGGGAGCAAACAGGAUUAGAUACCCCAGUAGUCCCAUGA
rnacentral:rRNA from 1 species